GUUUGAGCUUUCUGUAAGUACACUCACUCACAUUUCCACUAAUGCAAGUGGAAAUCUUAACAACUUCAAGACCAGCUGGGCAAAAGAUGAAAGCAUCUCAUGCAGAGACGAACACUGGUUGCAUGGAUGCAGCUCUAAGUGAACCGGAAGGUCAGGACUGGAAUCACUUGAGAUGCAGUUAGAAGCCUAGAGCCUGUAACUCUCCAGAGAACUAGAAGUAACCAAAGCCCAGCAUUUGGUCAUUCCAGAUGCACCCUGCCUGGUGUUCUGGUGUAGCUGAAAUAAUUAUGCGCUGUUCCCUGACGUGUCACUCGUCCGUCCCUCCUGGAGGUUCCACGGACAGAGGAAGCGUUUCCGCUGUCUCCUACAAUGUGGAAUUACCGAGAGCUGUGUUUUAACAUGUCACGUUGAGAGUAGACAGAUUCUGGCAACGAGAGGAUCUUUUGUCUCUGUGUGUGUGUGUGUGUGUGUGUGUGUGUGUGUGUGUUGUCUUUGUGUGGGGGUGUGUGUGUGAGUGUGAUGUUCUCAGCAUUGUACGUGACAUUUUGUAGUAGUGGAAGCUUAUUGUACGGCCCAUCAAGCGUGAAGGAUGAAAUAAUUAAUAAACAUUGCAGUAUGAAGCGCUGCCCUCAGCUGCACUUUGGAUUUGUCACUGUUAGAAUUGUCAUAA